AGAGUUUGAUCAUGGCUCAGGACGAACGCUGGCGGCGUGCUUAACACAUGCAAGUCACGGGGGGUAGCAAUACCAACCGGCGAACGGGUGCGUAACACGUGAGCAACCUACCGAUUUGAGGGGGAUAGCCGGCCUAACGGCCGGGUAAUACCGCAUACGCUUGUAAGGCCACCUGGUCUAACAAGGAAACCUCCGGGGCAGAUCGAGGGGCUCGCGGCCUAUCAGCUAGUUGGCGAGGUCACGGCUCACCAAGGCGACGACGGGUAGCUGGUCUGAGAGGAUGGCCAGCCACAUUGGGACUGAGACACGGCCCAGACUCCUACGGGAGGCAGCAGUGGGGAAUAUUGCACAAUGGGCGAAAGCCUGAUGCAGCGACGCCGCGUGAGGGAUGACGGCCUUCGGGUUGUAAACCUCUUUCAGCAGGGAAGAAGCGCAAGUGACGGUACCUGCAGAAGAAGCACCGGCUAACUACGUGCCAGCAGCCGCGGUA
rnacentral:rRNA from 1 species